GCCUUAAGGAUUUAACUUGAGAUCACAGUUGUUUAAUUGAUGUCUUGUAUUAUCAGCAGAUGAGAAUAUUGCACGUCUCUUAUGUUUUUGAUGUCUGGAUAUUUCCCUCCAAUUUGUUGUCACCGGGUACAUACCCUUCGAAAGGUAGAGAGAUUCCUCCAGUUCUGUUGUCACAAAUUCAUCUUCCCUGCUCUGCCAAUAGCAGUUCCACGAAAUACAGCUGCCUAAGUUGUUUCCCAGUUUGGUAGUUACAGGUGAUGGCUUUCAUCUCUAACAUAUGAAACUUGUCAUACAGGUAUAAAUCAAGAUAGGAGUUCAGGGCUCCUUCACAAUUAACUGGGUGAACUAGUUUCAAUGACUUUUGAUUGAAAAUGCUAAUUUCAAUUCUAAUGCUUUUGUUCAUUUCACAUUGGUUUUAUGAAUCCUGGAUAAUGCAUGUGGUCAAAAUUGCUGUGAUCGUUUUAAGUCAGUGAUUUUUUUUCCCUCUUAAAAACCAAUUCACUCCAUGAAUAUCCCAGAUAUUAAAAUUAGAUGUUGAAAUUCAGAAAUCGAUAGUCCAUGUAUUAUCACUAUCAUAAGUGUUAAAUUAUGGCUAAAUAUCUUGCUUUAUAUUAGUCUUCAAUUAUUUUUCAAGAUUUCAAAAUCAUCUUGUCAUUUAAGCAUUUUAAAGUGAAUUUGUUAAAUUGGUGAGAAUAAUGUAAAGCUGCUUAUUAUACAAAAGACCAUUAGUGUUAAUAACCGUGAUAUUGAUGCAGUUCUUUGGCUCCCGUGCUAGCCAAGAUCCAAAAACUAUUUUGAUGGUAACACCUUAGUCGAACGCAAUUUUGCAUAAUCUCCAAAAAUCACUUUAGGAGAAUUUGUUGUUUAAAAAAAUUUUCAGACUUGAAUAUUUAAGUUUAUUCUCAAUAUCUUUCUUUGUUUUCAGUUUAAAGUACCUGCAGCAAGCAGUGCUAUCAUAACAAAUGAUGGAAUUGGCAUCAACCCUGCACAAACUGCAGGAAAUAUUUUCCUAAAGCAUGGAUCAGAAUUGCGACUUAUUCCCAGGGACCGAGUUGGAAGUCAUUAACCAUUUGUCACCCAGAGAACUUUUGCCUGCAGAAGAAAACAAUAUUUAUUUUCGCAAUUAUUUUUAACCCCCAUGUCUUACCACAUUCAAUAUGCAUUCGUUUAAGAGCAUCUCCAGUAGGACUCCCUUUAAUUUAAGUGGUAGCUCUUUAAGCAGAGAAAAGUCUAAAAGUGCAUGUUGUAAAAUCUUAUAACAGUGCUGCCUAUAACAUGUUGUAAUGUAAUUUAGUAAAGAAUCGAGCUGAAAAGUAAUAUAAUCCUUAAGCAGGGGCUGCUAUUAACUUAAGAAUGUAGACUUGUUGAGUAAAAUUCAUACAAGGAAAUUGCGAAGUGUUAUACAAAGCUUUUGUAAAAUACUUGGUAUUAAGUACUCGAUUGCAAGAUAUCAGUACAUUUUAACCUUGUAUCAUUUGUUUUCUGUAUUGAAAAGAUACGAAUUCUGAAAUUCAUUAAAAUAAAAGUGAACUGCAGAAGAUAUUUUAUCUUUGAAAUUACAUCCUCAGAAUCACCAAAUGACUAUCGCACAGCAAGAGGCCAUUUGGCCCAUCACAUCUGUAUUGGAUCUUUGAAUGGACACUUCAUUUAUUGCCAUUUUCCCACCAUUUCUGUGUAAGCCUGGACACUUGCUUUCCAAAUAACACUCAAACUCCUUUUGAAUACAUCAGUUGAACUUCCCAAGCAGUGCCUUUCAGACCCUGAGUACCCAGCCUGCACUCAACUGUGUUUUCAAAUAUGUAAUAUUUACUGUUGAACAUUAUGUAAGAGUGUAUUUGAUAGAUCUUUCAUUUAAGUCAGUUAUCUCCUUUGGACAGAAUGCUCUGAACCAGAUAUUAGAGUAAUCAAUUUAUUAUUUGUGACAUCUUUUCAUUUUCAUAGCAUUUCAGUUGCAUUAAUUGUCUGAAUUCUUACAUCCAUGAGCUGCAGUUUUUCCCCCCAGUUAAAUGUUUUUCUCCAGCUUGAGGUGAGCUGCUGAUCAGACUUGAUGCCUUUCACUCACACCAGAUGACUCAUUCCACCAGAGUAACUCGAGUUUGGGGAGUUCACGUGAAUAGAUCAGCCUGCCUCAAGAUGCACAUUUUAACUUGGAAAUUACAAAAACAGAAAAGAAUAUCUGCUGUGACUUGGAGGAAUGACAAGCAUCCAUGAGUUAGGGAAGUCUUGAUACAACCCUGCAUUCGAGUAAUAAGACUGGUAUUAAUCUGAAUUUAUGAAUGAUGCUGUCAACUUGUGUUCGGUUAAUAAACUGAACUAAAGCCUGA